rnacentral:rRNA from 1 species
UUUGCCUACGGGGGGCAGCAGUGGGGAAUAUUGCACAAUGGGCGAAAGCCUGAUGCAGCAACGCCGCGUGAAGGAAGACGGUUUUCGGAUUGUAAACUUCUGUUCUUAGCGAAGAAUAAUGACGGUAACUAAGGAGCAAGCCACGGCUAACUACGUGCCAGCAGCCGCGGUAAUACGUAGGCGGCAAGCGUUGUCCGGAAUUACUGAGUGUAAAGGGAGCGUAGGCGGGAAGCCAAGUCAGCUGUGAAACCUACGGGCUUAAC